rnacentral:rRNA from 1 species
CCUACGGGAGGCAGCAGUGGGGAAUUUUGGACAAUGGGCGCAAGCCUGAUCCAGCAAUGCCGCGUGAGUGAAGAAGGCCUUCGGGUUGUAAAGCUCUUUUGUCAGGGAAGAAACGGCCUAAGCUAAUAUCUUGGGCUAAUGACGGUACCUGAAGAAUAAGCACCGGCUAACUACGUGCCAGCAGCCGCGGUAAUACGUAGGGUGCAAGCGUUAAUCGGAAUUACUGGGCGUAAAGCGUGCGCAGGCGGUUCUGUAAGUCUGUCGUGAAAUCCCCGGGCUUAACCUGGGAAUUGCAUUUGUGACUGCACGGCUAGAGUGUGUCAGAGGGGGGUAGAAUUCCACGUGUAGCAGUGAAAUGCGUAGAUAUGUGGAGGAAUACCGAUGGCGAAGGCAGCCCCCUGGGAUAACACUGACGCUCAUGCACGAAAGCGUGGGGAGCAAACAGGAUUAGAUACCCUGGUAGUCCACGCCCUAAACGAUGUCUACUAGUUGUCGGGUCUUAAUUGACUUGGUAACGCAGCUAACGCGUGAAGUAGACCGCCUGGGGAGUACGGUCGCAAGAUUAAAACUCAAAGGAAUUGACGG